rfam:Brassica oleracea var. oleracea cultivar TO1000 chromosome C2, whole genome shotgun sequence
GGAAUAUAAAAAUCCGUCUCUUAACUUUUAAUUUAAAAAACUAAGAAUUGGCUCUUUAAUAAUAUUUUUAAGAACCGGUUUUUAGUUUUUAGUUAAAAAUUAAGAGACGGGUUUUUAUAUUUC